rnacentral:rRNA from 1 species
GAUGAACGCUAGCUACAGGCUUAACACAUGCAAGUCGAGGGGCAGCAUGGUCUUAGCUUGCUAAGGCCGAUGGCGACCGGCGCACGGGUGAGUAACACGUAUCCAACCUGCCGUCUACUCUUGGACAGCCUUCUGAAAGGAAGAUUAAUACAAGAUGGCAUCAUGAGUCCGCAUGUUCACAUGAUUAACGGUAUUCCGGUAGACGAUGGGGAUGCGUUCCAUUAGAUAGUAGGCGGGGUAACGGCCCACCUAGUCUUCGAUGGAUAGGGGUUCUGAGAGGAAGGUACCCCACAUGGGAACUGAGACACGGUCCAAACUCCUACGGGAGGCAGCAGUGAGGAAUAUGGGGCAAUGGGCGCAGGCCUGAACCAGCCAAGUAGCGUGAAGGAUGACUGCCCUAUGGGUUGUAAACUUCUUUUAUAAAGGAAUAAAGUCGGGUAUGUAUACCCGUUUGCAUGUACUUUAUGAAUAAGGAUCGGCUAACUCCGUG